rnacentral:rRNA from 1 species
GUGCGUAAUAGCUCACUAGUCAAGAGAUCCUGCGCCGAAGAUGUCCGGGGCUCAAACUUACCACCGAAGCUAUGGGUGUACACUAUGUGUACGCGGUAGAGGAGCUUUCUGUAUGGGUUGAAGUCGUACCGUAAGGAGCGGUGGACUGUACAGAAGUGAGAAUGCUGGCAUAAGUAGCGAGAAAUAAGUGAGAAUCUUAUUGGCCGAAAACCUAAGGUUUCCUGGGGAAGGUUCGUCCGCCCAGGGUUAGUCGGGACCUAAGCCGAGGCCGAAAGGCGUAGGUGAUGGACAAUCGGUUGAUAUUCCGAUACCGCCUAUUUACGUUUGAGAAAUGGGGUGACGCAGUAGGAUAAGAUGUGCGCACUAUUGGAUGUGCGUCUAAGCAUUUAGGCAUGCUUGAUAGGUAAAUCCGUCGAGCUAAGCUGAGGUGUGAUGGGGAGCCAUUUAUGGCGAAGUAUCUGAUUCCACACUGCCAAGAAAAGCCUCUAUCGAGUGAAUAGGUGCCCGUACCGCAAACCGACACAGGUAGGUGAGGAGAGAAUCCUAAGGCCAUCGGAAGAAUUGCUGUUAAGGAACUCGGCAAAUUGACCCCGUAACUUCGGGAGAAGGGGUGCCUACGAAAGUAGGCCGCAGAGAAUAGGCCCAAGCAACUGUUUAGCAAAAAAACAGGUCUCUGCUAAAGCGAAAG